GAUCAUGUGGUUAAAUUGGCAACACACCUGACCUUGGAUCAGAUGAUUCAGGGUUCAAGUCCCUCCGUGAAACU